UGUAUACUCGCUCCGUCCAGAAAUACUUGUUGAAAGAAUGGAUGUAUCUAGAUGUAUUUUAGUUCUAGAUACAUUCAAUUUUAUGCAUUUCUUCGACAAGUAUUUCCGGAUGGAGGGAGUAUAUA
rfam:Triticum urartu cultivar G1812 contig682103, whole genome shotgun sequence.